UCAGAGUUUUAAAUCUACCAGUCACGUAGGUUCUUUUUUCUUCAAAUUAUACCCUCUCUACAUACAUACAUACACUUCACAACACUAUUUCCCACCAAUAUAAAUCUACCCCUUCCCCCCUUCUUAUGUUAUUCCAGGCUCAUCUUCCACCUUACCAAUGCUCGGAGUGCCUACUUCCACCGUAUCUUCUUCGCCACCUUAUUGGAGCAACGGCGAAGCUCCAUUCCUUCUAACAUACGUACGAAUGUCAUCACCGGCGUUAAUUUCCCGUGCCACCGUGACGGAGGAGGAGGAAGAUGUGGAGAAUUGCACAACACCCAAGUAUAGUGAUCAAGCUUUGACACCCAAUUCCAUAUGUCCACCAGCACCAAGGAAGCCAAGAACUACUACAUCAGGGAGGAAAAACUCUACUUCUUCGUCACCAAGAACAACUCGUGUAGUCGUUGAUCUCUCAUCAGUGUUUCGUACUUUCAAGAAGAAGAAGCAGAGGAAAAAGAAAAAGAAGAAAUUACACGUUCGGCUCAAUUAUUCUUCUGGUUUCUCCUAAAUUCAGUCCCAAAUUGUUAUUUCUUAUCUUCAAAUUAUAACAAGAGUAAUUCUGGACUGCCGUCAGUUUUCAAUUCUCUUCCAAACAACCCAACCCAACACAACCAUCAGGAGGGGAAGAUCCGAGGAUGAUUCUAGCAAUUCAGAAUUAUACUUCAAAUUAUUACAAUUUUAAUUUUAGAAUUUGGUGAGAAAUUAUUAUAUUUUAAGCAACGAACGAAAAAAAUCACAAGAGAAAAAAAUAAUUCAGAAUUGGCUAAAGGAAUAAAACCUGAUUUUAGUAUUCCAGUUUGUGUUGUUUUUAACGUCUUUUUUGACCGAAUUCACUGCAUUGGCCAUUCACUACCGUUCAAUUAUUCAAGUAUUUAUGUUCGAUGCUAAACAUAUUUAAAUUUGAGAAGAAAACUUUCCUUAAAAUCAAAUCAGGUUCGAGAAGAUGCUUAAAAUGGCAUCAGAUAUAUUUUGGGAGUUUGGGGUGCAAGUAAAAUCUGGGAAAACAACAACAGAGAAAAAGGUUCUGCAAUGUACUUAC
rnacentral:lncRNA from 1 species